rnacentral:rRNA from 1 species
CAAUAGCGUAUAUUAAAGCUGUUGCGGUUAAAAAGCUCGUAGUUGGAUUUCUGUCAAGGACAACUGGUCCGCCCUCCGGGUGAGCACAUAGUUUGGUCUUGGCAUCUUGCUGGAAACUGUUGCUGCGCUUGGUUGUGUGGUGCAGCUUUCAGCACUUUCACUUUGAGGAAAUUGGAGUGUUUCAAGCAGGCACAUGCCUUUGGACACAGCAGCAUGGAAUAAUUAGAUUGGGCUUUUGCUCCAACUUGUUGGUUCCUGGAGCUGAGGUGAGAAUCAAUGGGGAUUGUUGGGGGCAUCCGAAUUUAGCCGUCAGAGGUGAAAUUCUUGGAUCUGCUAAAGACGGACAACUGCGAAAGCGUUUGCCCAGGAUGUUUUCAUUGA